AUACUUACCUGGCAAGGGAGAUACCGUGAUCAAGAAGGCGGUUCACCCAUGGCGAGGCUCAGCCAUUGCACUCCGGCUGUGCUGACCCCUGCGAAUUUCCCAAAUGUGGAAAUCUCGAUUGCAUAAUUUAUGGUAGUGGGGGACUGCGUUCGCGCUCUCCCCUG
rnacentral:snRNA from 8 species